UUUUGGACAAUGGGGGCAACCCUGAUCCAGCAAUGCCGCGUGCAGGAAGAAGGCCUUCGGGUUGUAAACUGCUUUUGUCAGGGAAGAAAUCCUGUGGGUUAAUACCUCGUGGGGAUGACGGUACCUGAAGAAUAAGCACCGGCUAACUACGUGCCAGCAGCCGCGGUAAUACGUAGGGUGCGAGCGUUAAUCGGAAUUACUGGGCGUAAAGCGUGCGCAGGCGGUUUUGUAAGACAGAGGUGAAAUCCCCGGGCUCAACCUGGGAACUGCCUUUGUGACUGCAAGGCUGGAGUACGGCAGAGGGGGAUGGAAUUCCGCGUGUAGCAGUGAAAUGCGUAGAUAUGCGGAGGAACACCGAUGGCGAAGGCAAUCCCCUGGGCCUGUACUGACCCUCAUGCACGAA
rnacentral:rRNA from 1 species